UCGAACGGACUCAUAUUGAAACCUAGUGAUUUAUGAGUUAGUGGCGGACGGGUGAGUAACGCGUGGAUAACCUGCCGUAUACCGGGGGAUAACACUUAGAAAUAGGUGCUAAUACCGCAUAAGCGCACGGCUCCGCAUGGGGCAGUGUGAAAAACUCCGGUGGUAUACGAUGGAUCCGCGUCUGAUUAGCUAGUUGGCGGGGUAACGGCCCACCAAGGCAGCGAUCAGUAGCCGGCCUGAGAGGGUGGACGGCCACAUUGGGACUGAGACACGGCCCAAACUCCUACGGGAGGCAGCAGUGGGGAAUAUUGCACAAUGGGGGAAACCCUGAUGCAGCGACGCCGCGUGAGUGAAGAAGUAUCUCGGUACGUAAAGCUCUAUCAGCAGGGAAGAAAAUGACGGUACCUGACUAAGAAGCCCCGGCUAACUACGUGCCAGCAGCCGCGGUAAUACGUAGGGGGCAAGCGUUAUCCGGAUUUACUGGGUGUAAAGGGAGCGUAGACGGCAGCACAAGUCUGGAGUGAAAUCCCGGGGCUUAACCCCGGAACUGCUUUGGAAACUGUGCGGCUGGAGUGCAGGAGGGGUAAGCGGAAUUCCUAGUGUAGCGGUGAAAUGCGUAGAUAUUAGGAGGAACACCGGUGGCGAAGGCGGCUUACUGGACUGUAACUGACGUUGAGGCCAGUGGCGAAGGCGGCUUACUGGACCGUAACUGACGUUGAGGCUCGAAAGCGUGGGGAGCAAACAGGAUUAGAUACCCUGGUAGUCCACGCCGUAAACGAUGAUUACUAGGUGUCGGGGGACCAAGGUGCUCCGGU
rnacentral:rRNA from 1 species